AGUACGUGAAACUGCUAAGAGGUUAAGCCCGAUGAACCUGAAUAUCCAUUAUGGAAAAUUCAUCGCUAAAAAAAAAAUAAAAUAAAAAAUAGCGUGCAAUUUUUCCAUAUAAGGACAUUGUAAUCUGUUAAUGUAUUAAAUAUUUAUCAAAAGAUCUUUUACCUAAGUUUAUCCAAAUUAGUUAUUUUCGGAUUUCUAACAUAAGAUAAAUGUAUUAGAUUUGAUAAAUCAUUGACAGAUAAAAUUAUAUAUAGUGCUUAAAUUUUUCGGAAUUUUACAAUGGUGUUAAAUCUAUUGAUUUAAACAUUUUAUUGUAUGCAUUUAUAUGAUUAACAAUGCGAUAGAUUCAGGAUACCUUCGGGACCCGUCUUGAAACACGGACCAAGGAGUCUAACAUAUGUGCAAGUCAUUGGGUAUUUUUAAUAAAACCCAAAGGCAUAAUUAACUUAACUGUUUUAAUGGGAUUAGUUUAAAUUUUAUUAUGAAAUAUAAAUUCAAUCCCGGGGCGUUCUAUACGGUUAUGUAUAAUAAUAUUUAUAUUAUUUAUGCCUCUAACUAGAGC
rnacentral:rRNA from 1 species